AUAACUUGGGGGUCUUGUUAAAAGGUAGGCUCUAAUUCUUUAGGGUAGGAGUGAGGUCUGAGAUUCUGCAUUUCUGACAAGUUCCCAGGUGAUGCUAA
rnacentral:pre_miRNA from 1 species